ACCGUCUUCCUUCAGUACACACUUUUGGAGUCAAAAUAUUGACAGGAAAUUGAUCCGAAAAUGAGGUUUGCUCCAAAACUAUGAAUCAAAUAGUAGACAGAAAUGUCCAAUGUGCUUCACAAUUUCGAGGUAGUGUUCUUCUUUAAAGGGUGUCUUUUGCUUUCAGUUAUUAAAACUUUUGAGUUCAAUAUUGAAAGAAAAUUGAUCCGAAAAUGAGGUUUGCUCCAAAACUACAAAGAAAAGAGUACUUCAAACUAGAAAUUUUCAACUAUAUUUUGCUAUGUGCUUCACAAUUUCGAGGUAAUGUUCUUCUCCAAUAGGAGCCUUCUGCUUUCAGUUGUUAGUUACACUUUUGGAGUCAAAUAUUGACAGAAAUUUAAUGCAAACUGGAAGGUUUGUUGAGCUCCAAAACUUCAACAAAAACGGCACUUCAGACUAGAAUUUUUUAGAUGUUGCUAUGUGCUCAGCAAUUUCGAGAUAGUGUUCUCUUAAUGGUGUUGUUCUUCCUUCAGUUGUUGUUAUCACUUUUGGACUUCAAUCUUGACCGAUAUUUGAUCAGAAACUAGGUUUUGCAACGUAAAUUUGCGUCAAACCUUGAACUUUUCUAUAAACUAUGUGCUCCGCAAUUUUGAGAUAGUGUUCUUCUUCAAACAGAUCCUUCUUCCUUCAGUUGUUGUCAACACUUUGGACUCCAAUAUGGACAGUAAAUAUUGGAAACUAGGGCUUGAUAGGAAAAUUUGGUCUAAAAUUACAAUAUGCUUCAAAACUUGAAUUUUUUUAUAGACCAUGUGCUCCGCAAUUUUGAGAUAGUGUUCUUCUUCAAAUGGAUCCUUUUUCCUUUAGUUGGUGUUCUUCUUCCUUCAGUUGUUGUUAACACUUUUGAGCUCCAAUUUGUACAGAAAUUACUUUUCCAUUAACAUCUUCACUGUAUCAAAACCCAAUGAUAUUACGUAACAACACAAUCAUUUUGUAAUACUACGGUAAUUUAUAUGUGGGUUGACAAUAUAAUCAUUGAAUCUAAAUACCUUAGCUUCUCUAAAUUUCAGUUAUUUAUGAUUUUACCAUUGGACAAGAGGAAGUGCUUUUUAUUACUCUAACAGAAUAAGGAUAAAAAUCAAAAAGCACUAAAUAUUACAAUAGCAUACUAGGUUCGAUAUAAAAUAUAAUUCCUAUUCAUUACUCGGUCCACAAUACCUCAGAGAAAAAUAUACGGUAGUUACAUUUACUGGCAACAAAUUUCUCACCCAACUAUUAGCACAUGAAUUUGCUCUCAAUAGCAGUACCACAGAUUUCAAAUUUGGUUGCAGAUUUGAACUUUGCAGAGAAAAAUAGGUAUAUUCAUUUAAUAACAAACGAUUUAUUUUCUUGAAAUAUCAGUGACUCCCACGAUCUUCUCCUUAUGAAACUCGCCGGUGAAUCAACUGCUAUUCUAAACUAGUAUCACUUGGAU